rnacentral:tRNA from 1 species
GGGGGUAUAGUUUAGUGGUAGAGCACUUGCCUGGAAUGUGUGAGGACUUGGGUUCAAUCCUAGUACCCUCC